AGAUCUUUUGUACAGGGAUUAUCAGGCCGAUCAUAAGCUCACCAUCACGACCUAUUCACCUACUGGAGUUGCAAUCACAUCCUCUGGAACAAAGAAAGGCGAACAAUUUCUUGCUGAUGUCAACACCCAGUUAAAAAGGAACAACAUUACUACAGACAUCAAAGUCGACACAAACUCCAAUCUCUCCACAACCAUUGUAAUUGAUGAACCUGCUCCAGGUUUGAAAGCAAUCCUUAGCUUCAAAGUUCCUGAUCAAAGAUCUGGCAAGUUGGAACUCCAAUAUUUGCAUGACUAUGCUGGAAUCUGCACAAGUAUUGGGUUGACUGCAAAUCCGAUUGUCAACUUUUCUGGUGUGAUUGGAAACUAUGUUACUGCUAUUGGAACUGAUGUUGCCUUUGACAACAAUAAACACAAACAUUAUUUU